rnacentral:lncRNA from 1 species
GUAGGAGAGGACAUGGCGGUUGGCCACCAGAAGCAGCGCCUUCGGCACCUCCUGCAACAAAUUUGAACCGAGAUGAAAAAUAAAAACAAAGAAGAAGAAGGAUGAGAAAAGCCUUCGAGAAUCGUUCUCUAAGUAGAACGCAUUAGUUCCUUGGAGAGAAUCUCCGAACCGCAGGAAGGUGGAGGGAGCGACCUUAGAGACGAGGGGGACGAGCUUCUUCGAGAAGCCGCCGGCCAACACCACCACUUGGAAGGGACUUGAGGCCUGACUCUGUGUGGAGAUCCGAGAAGGUGAUCGCCCGAUUCGUCAAGGAAGCGUUACCCGGAGAUGUAGGUCUUGCCGGAGAGGAACUUGUCGAGGAAGCGUUACACGGAGAUGUAGGUCUUGCCAGAGAGGAACUCGUCGAGGGACUUGAGGCC